CUACUAGCCAAUCAUGAUCAUCAAGCACCUCAAUAUCUCUGAGCCAAUUUAGAAAUUCUCUUUUUUCAGAUGGGGUGCAAGGUGCAUACACCGAAGUUAACAGCCAUGACUCAUUGUUCAACCUUGAGGUGAACUCCACAGUAAUUGCAUACUCAUUGCUAAAAGAGAGAUGCCAGUGAAGGCACCAAUUUUCCAAGCUAUCAAAAUUCCCCUAGAAGUCCCAAUGGAAGGGAGGAACUCAUAGGAG
rnacentral:lncRNA from 1 species